ensembl:lncRNA
CACUUACUCCUGGGGUCUGGGUGAGCAUCUGGCCCCGACCUGGUAAAGGGUCGGUUUCGCCCAGCAGUAAGCCCUACAUGUGGACAGAGGACGAACACCGGACGAGCGAACGGAGACUACAUGCAACAAGUGGUGACCCCGACGUGAUCUGUCUGCUGAGGGUGGCUGCCCGGCGUGCCCGUGACGCGGAGAAGAGCCUGUGAGGUGGCGGCAGGUCGCGCACGGAAGACGUAUUGCGGUUAAGAGCCUGCGAGGUGGCGGCAGGUCGCAUACGUAACAAUGGACCAAGUCAUUAAGGAUGCUUGCCUUCAACGAAUGAUGGACAAGACUUUUGACUAUCACAUUGAGUAUCAUAGAUUGCGUGAAAAAUUAUAGAGGGGUUUAGGUUGUUGCGUUCGUGCUGUAACGGGGCAAGGCUUGGCCGAGCACGGAAAAGAAUUCCCUGUUGCUCUGAUGAUUGCUUAAGAACUGUAGUAGAAAAUAGUAGGAAUAGUGUGCUGAAAUAUAUUUAGGAUUAGGCGUCUUGCGGGGGCACGGGAUGUACGGGACAGGCCUCUCCCUAAACAUAGAGAGAUAGUGCUAUCGUGCUGACCUUGUUGCAGAGAAAACAGGAGAAGAAGAAGGAUGAUAAAAGAAUGUGGAAACGGCCAAAUAAGGCACAAUGUUAUCUGGUGUGAACUAAUCAGAGUGGGACAUGACAGCACGGUUAUCUAGGUAAAAUGUAUAUAAGCUGUGUUUAGUAGUGAAUAAACGCCAUUUGCCUCACUUACUCCUGGGGUCUGGGUGAGCAUCUGGCCCCGACCUGGUAAAGGGUCGGUUUCGCCCAGCAGUAAGCCCUACAUGUGGACAGAGGACGAACACCGGACGAGCGAACGGAGACUACAU